GCGUGUGGGUGCAUAUUUGUGCGGUGAGGGUAGAGGCGAAGAUCAACUAGAGCCAUGCUGCGUGGUGGGCUUCAGACAUCACCGCGGCUGAUGGCUCGGGGCAUCGCAGGGCCACAGGUCCUCGGUGCUGAGGUGCCAUCCUUUCGCAGCUUUCCGUACCGGGCCCAGGACACGCUGUACUUGUACCGACACUUUCUCCAGCUUAUUUACCACCACUACGGGCCUGAAGAGCGCAAGGACUUGCUUUUUCGGCUGCGCAAUGAGUUCUCCAGCAAGCGGCACCUGCGAGGCCCUCGUGCCGUCUCGGCGGCGCUGAAGCGUGGGGAGGGGAUGCUUGCACUGCAGCGCCAACUCCUUCAAUCGCGCGAGGUACGCCGGGGAACGUCACGCGAUGGUGGAGCGCAGAGUGUCGACACACUGUGGGAUCAGUUCCAGAUGGUUUCCGGGAAUGUGUUGCCUGGACUCCGCAACUAUGAAAACUCGCUCCCCGUCUCGAGCGGGAGCUACGUUACACAGGCGAGCACGAACAACGUGUACUCGCGGCGCCGACGAUGAUGGCGGGGAGGCAUUGAUAGCUCGAGAAAAACGCACGAAUCCGACACGCGCACGCACACCGUCGAAGAUUUCGUGCUUCUGAGGGUUUAGGUGGAGGGGAGCGGGAGGGGGGGCGGCUGCGUUCAGACUGCCGAGAAGUGCCGCGCGUGGUCAACUAUGGUGCGCAGAGAAAGAGCAGCGGCGAAGAAUGCGACGGGCAGCUGCCACUCGCAGAGCGAUUCUCCCGCCUUCCUCAUCCCCUUGCGGCCUCGACCUCUCCUUCGAUACCCGGCUAACAGAUUGCGCGUGUGCUUGUUGUACCGGCGUAACUUCCCUCCUCUCGGCGAGCACAUACGCAUUUUAGCGCUAGCAUAGCCCUCACCGGUACAGCUAACCUUUUUGAUGCUCACUCCUCCGAGCCAUCCCCCACCCACCCACCCACCCGCCAAAUCACUUCUCCUCCCUCAGGUAUACUGCACAUGAGCUGAACAAGGUGCUGCAAAGAUAGGUGGCCACAGUGCCAGACUUAAGCAUCGGUUAUACCAGAAGAACAACCCUCGCAGCAGCGCCGGCUUCCCCUUGUU
rnacentral:misc_RNA from 1 species